AGCGAACGUUAGCGGCGGGCUUAACACAUGCAAGUCGAACGAGAAAGUACCUUCGGGUACGAGUAAAGUGGCGCACGGGUGAGGAACACGUGGGUAACCUACCUUCUAGCGCGGGACAACGGUUCGAAAGGACCGCUAAUACCGCAUAAGCUGGUGACGGCUGCGGCUGUUACCAGGAAAGGGUGGCGAAAGCUAUCGCUGGAAGAUGGGCCCGCGUCCCAUCAGCUUGUUGGUGAGGUAACGGCUCACCAAGGCAUAGACGGGUAGCUGGUCUGAGAGGAUGAUCAGCCACACUGGGACUGAGACACGGCCCAGACUCCUACGGGAGGCG
rnacentral:rRNA from 1 species